rnacentral:piRNA from 1 species
AGAGACCAGAUGUGAACAGGAUGGG